GGGCGAGUUCCGUGGGGGAUUGAGAAUCUCGGGGAAUAUAUAACACGGCCGCUGCGACCACGAGGGAAGGCGAGAAUUAUAAACAAAAUGAGAAAGCGAGGGCGCCGGGGGGGGGUGGGUGGGUGGACGGGGACAGGCGGCGGCGGCGAUUCCUCCUCCUCCUCCUCCUCGCCGACAGGGGCUCUCUCCGGCGGGGGCUUCCUUUUCUUCUGCUUGCGUGGCGCUAAAGAGCUGGGCGGUGAAAAUAGCUUGGGUGUCGGAUCUCGGGGGAUUUAAAUUCAACUGUCAUGGGAUCCAUCAAUGGAAAAUGGUUGCGCUUGAUAAUUCCUCCAGUUUUUUUCCCUCCCUUGUUGUUGUUAUUAUUAUUAUUAUCCUCCUAAACCAUUAUUUCGAAUGAUCAAGUGAAUACACAUGAGUUAAUACCC
rnacentral:lncRNA from 1 species